UACGUAGGGAGCAAGCGUUGUCCGGAAUCAUUGGGCGUAAAGCGCGCGUAGGUGGCCCCAUAAGUCCGCUGUGAAAGUCAAGGGCUCAACCUUUGAAAGCCGGUGGAUACUGUGGGACUAGAGUACGGAAGAGGCGAGUGGAAUUCCUGGUGUAGCGGUGGAAUGCGCAGAUAUCAGGAGGAACACCAAUAGCGAAGGCAGCUCGCUGGGACGUUACUGACACUGAGGCGCGAAAGCGUGGGGAGCGAACAGG
rnacentral:rRNA from 1 species